UGCUGCUCCACACUACCCCAGGUCACAUGUUGCUGGAGGCCCUGCCCAACUGAACUUGAACUUCCACACCAUCUGAGGCAUCACUCCUAUCGGACUGAGACACCUGCUUGCUGAUGCUGUUUCCUGGGCCUAGGACUGAGACUCGGGUAUCUUCUUCUGUGAUCUCCAAGAAUCCACCUUGGGCCUAAAGUCUCAGUGAGAAUGCUGCCAUUACCUACAAAGUUGGGAUGGCCACUGGAUGCACACACCUGGAUGGCCACUGGAUACACACACCUAUUUCCUCGAUCUGCCAGAAGAGAACCGGAAGCGGUAGUAUCCCCACGUGCCUGGGACCAGAGACGUAGAGCAUGGGAGGUUCCAGGAGAGUAGGAUGUGGGGUACACCUGCAAGUGAAGUAGAUUAUACAUCAUCUGGAUCCUGGACCCCAGCAGGACAACAUCUUCAUUUUUCUUUAUCAUUCACAUGAAUAACCCAAAUAAGUUCAAUUCAAGGAAGCAGGAGUUCACUCAGCCAGGGUUCUAAUGCUUUGCUAUCUCCCUGCUUCUUACUGCCUGACAAAGGGCACUGGAAUCAGAUGUAGUUCCAGCUAGUUCUGUCUCUGAUUGGUUUCUAUAGAGGUCACAGGUACUUGUCUGAAUAAUGUGGGCAACAAUUGCUUGAUGGGUCCCAAACUUUGUACUAGAAUUUUUAAUCAAGGCAAAAAAAAAAAGACAAUUCAGCAGACUACAGACAAAGAAAAAAUUAACUAGAUUUUCUACUACCUACAAUUUUCUGCCUAGUAGUGAUGUGUUCUUUGUUCUGCUGAAAAACCCUCUACGCUGAUGGUGCGGACACUGACAGUGAAGCUGUGUGGUGGUUGGCUAUCUCUAAUUUUUUUCUUCACUUUUCAGAUGAGAAAGUAGGUUAUGAUUCAUUUUGUACAAUCUGAGUCAAAAUUCAUUUUUGUCUUUUUUUUCAAUUAGUUCUCCUGCAUUCCACAUGAAAAAGCAAGAGUAGUUUGCUCAGCAAAUGAGAACACUGUGGUAUGUCUUUGUGUGCUGCUUUCUCACACACAAUGACUGAAAAACAUUUUUGUAUUAGCUAAUUAUAUUCCAAUAAUAAUAAAACAUAAAAAAGAGUUAAUUCAAAUAGAAGCAAACACUAACAUCAAAAAUUCAGAGGGGUUGGUUGUUAUAAACUAUAAAUGACGUAAAUCAAACAAGAUGCUGCUCUAGGAACUGAUAUUAACAUCUCUUAAAUAUUUGAUCUAUUACAGUUUAGAAUGCAUUAUAAUUGUUAUUUAUUUGAAAUUGAUCAUCACAAUAAACACAUGUAAUAAAUAGGGAAGAUAAUGCUCUUU